UACGAAGGAUGCGAGCGUUAUCCGGAUUUAUUGGGUUUAAAGGGAGCGUAGGCGGUCUUAUAAGUCAGUGGUGAAAUCUCGUUGCUUAACAACGAACGUGCCAUUGAUACUGUAGGACUUGAGUACAGUUGCCGUUGGCGGAAUGUGUCAUGUAGCGGUGAAAUGCAUAGAUAUGACACAGAACACCGAUUGCGAAGGCAGCUGACGAAACUGUAACUGACGCUGAGGCUCGAAAGCGUGGGGAUCAAA
rnacentral:rRNA from 1 species